rnacentral:rRNA from 1 species
UGAGUAACCUGCCCUUAACUCUGGGAUAAGCCUGGGAAACUGGGUCUAAUACCGGAUAUGACUCCUCAUCGCAUGGUGGGGGGUGGAAAGCUUUAUUGUGGUUUUGGAUGGACUCGCGGCCUAUCAGCUUGUUGGUGAGGUAAUGGCUCACCAAGGCGACGACGGGUAGCCGGCUGAGAGGGUGACCGGCCACACUGGGACUGAGACACGGCCCAGACUCCGUACGGGAGCAG